GGAAUUAUCCCAGGCAUCCCAGAUUCUGCCUGUAGAGCAACCAAGGCUGGCAUUUGAGCAAGGGGGUGAGGGGGGUAUGGGUGGCUACUGGCCCUAGGGGUUGACCCUAAAGAAUAUCUGGGCAGUCUGCCAUCCAAUUGCUCCAAAAUGAAAAUCCUCUAAAAGAAGUGACUCUGGGAGAUAGGAA